rnacentral:lncRNA from 1 species
UUUAGAGUAAAAUUCUUGAAAUGCUUGAAGUUCUAGUUACUCUCAAGGAUUCUCUUUUCUUUGCCUUUUUUCUAUUUAGUGGCAGUUCUCAGACUUUUUCAUCCCUGAUCUUAACUCCAUCACAUUUAAAUUGCUGUCCACCUUUCUGAAUUCAUGUCCACAGGCAAACUGAGUGAUUCUGCAAUUAAUAAGAAACCUUUCUUGUUUCGUUCAAAACUGAAAUACAAAAUAAUGAUUUUUAGAAAUAAGGCUGAAGAAUGAAUCUUAAUUGUCCAUGUAAGACACAGAAGGUCUAAAGAAUUAUGGCCCCUAUCUUUGGGGAACUUCAAAUUUAGUGGGUAGGAUCAGAAAGCAAGCCUCACGGCAGAGAAUAAGGAAAUAAAAAAUAAUUUGGGAAGUGCUAAUUAAAGUAUAAAGAUCAAAGAUGCUAUCAAAAGAGGAAUAACCAAUUAUUUUAUGAGAGGCCCAAAUGGGAGCUAAAAUGUAUUGAUUGUCUAUUUAAUGUUAUUUCUGCCCUCUGAUGACUCUGAAAUUGUAGAAUGGAAAACAUAUCACACUGCCUAGAAUAUUGUAAAUGUGUUAUGAUGUCAGCUGUCAUUAAUUUUAUUUAAAUUUUCAUCCAUGAUACCUGUAGGUCUAUCAUAUAGUCUGUACCUGCAACAAUAACUCAUUACACUUUUGUUAAGUUAUUUCAUAACAUUAACCUAUCCAGCAAUUCUCCUGCUAGUAAAAUUUCCUAAAGUAUCCAAAACAUUAUUAUCCAAAGUACAGGUAUGAAGUCAUGAAUUGGUGUGAAUAUAUUGUGUAUACAACCAGAGAUAUGAAAAAUUGUACUCUAUAGUGUAAUAAGAAUUGUAAUGCAUUCCGCUGUCAUAUAUAAAUUUUUAAAAAAUACUUAAAAGACCACAUUCACUCAAAUGCUUACUUUUCAAUAAAUCCAUCUCUAGUAAAAUACUCAUGAUGCAAAAGAUCAGUAGAGGAUAUCCUCUCAGCAGGAUCAAUUUGUAAACAAGCCUAGAAAAUAAAAAAUAUUUUCAUAAUCAGUGAGUUCUAACAGGGCAAAAAUUAAAUUUAUUUGACAAAUGAUUCUUAGAAAUAGUCAAUUAUCCAGAGAUGAGAGAGAAAAGAUGAAAUUAAAGCUCAGGAAUUUCUGAGGGUAUGUUCUGAUCAUUUAUUUCCCUAAGAAAUUUUUACUUGCAAAGCAAUAUUACAGGUUAAAUAUUCAAUGAUUCUAGCCAAAGCAAAGCUCAGUGUGUUUCUGUGAUGAACAGAAAUUAUUUAGCUCGUUUUGGUCCUCUUAUCAGUGUUGUGUGGUAGAAAGUUCAUGAGAAAUCAUUUGCAUUUGACAGAUCUGGAAACAUGAUUAGUGAUAUGCUAAACUGGAUAAUUUUUUCUGUAUAUAUGAUACAGGGGAUCAAACCUAGAGACUCACAUGUGCUAGGCAAGUGCUCUACCACUAAGCUAUAUCUCCAGCCCUAAAGUAAUAUUUUAAAAUAGUAUUAUAAUUUAUGCAAAUUUCUCAGAUAUACAUUAUUAAUCUUAACAUACAUGAACUAUAUCUGCCAGCAAUCCAUUAAGUUUUGGAUAUUUUUUCCUUGAGCUUUGGGGGUGUUGAACUUCAGGAAGGACUACCCCAGCAAAAAUAGGACUCCUAGUAAAGAUAUUCUGCAAGUGAGGUGUCAAAUUGC